AGUGAACGCUGGCGGUAGGCCUAACACAUGCAAGUCGAACGGCAGCACAGUAAGGGCUUGCUCUUACGGGUGGCGAGUGGCGGACGGGUGAGGAAUACAUCGGAAUCUACUUUUUCGUGGGGGAUAACGUAGGGAAACUUACGCUAAUACCGCAUACGACCUACGGGUGAAAGCAGGGGAUCUUCGGACCUUGCGCGAUUGAAUGAGCCGAUGUCGGAUUAGCUAGUUGGCGGGGUAAAGGCCCACCAAGGCGACGAUCCGUAGCUGGUCUGAGAGGAUGAUCAGCCACACUGGAAAUGAGACACGGUCCAGACUCCUACGGGAGGCAGCAGUGGGGAAUAUUGGACAAUGGGCGCAAGCCUGAUCCAGCCAUACCGCGUGGGUGAAGAAGGCCUUCGGGUUGUAAAGCCCUUUUGUUGGGAAAGAAAAGCAGCAGGUUAAUACCCCGCUGUUCUGACGGUACCCAAAGAAUAAGCACCGGCUAACUUCGUG
rnacentral:rRNA from 1 species